GGCGUGCUUAACACAUGCAAGUCGAACGAGAAAGCUUCCUUCGGGAAGCGAGUAGAGUGGCGCACGGGUGAGUAACGCGUAGGUAAUCUACCCUUAUAUUUGGGAUAACAUCGGGAAACUGGUGCUAAUACCGGAUACCCUUCAUUUCUGCCGGGUUAUGGAGGAAAGGUGGCCUCUUCAUGAAAGCUACCGUAUAGGGAUGAGCUUGCGUACCAUUAGCUAGUAGGCGGGGUAACGGCCCACCUAGGCGACGAUGGUUAGCGGGUCUGAGAGGAUGAUCCGCCACACUGGAACUGGAACACGGACCAGACUCCUACGGGAGGCAGCAGUGAGGAAUAUUGCGCAAUGGGGGAAACCCUGACGCAGCGACGCCGCGUGAGUGAGGAAGGUUUUCGGAUCGUAAAGCUCUGUCAGAAGGGAAGAAGUGUUGCAUGGUUAAUACCCAUGUAAUUUGACGGUACCUUCAGAGGAAGCACCGGCUAACUCCGUGCCAGCAGCCGCGGUAAUACGGAGGGUGCAAGCGUUGUUCGGAAUUACUGGGCGUAAAGGGCGCG
rnacentral:rRNA from 1 species